UACGUAGGGUGCAAGCGUUAAUCGGAAUUACUGGGCGUAAAGCGUGCGCAGGCGGUUUUGUAAGGUUGUCGUGAAAUCCCCGGGCUCAACCUGGGAAUGGCGAUGAAGACUGCAAGGCUAGAAUCUGGCAGAGGGGGGUAGAAUUCCACGUGUAGCAGUGAAAUGCGUAGAGAUGUGGAGGAACACCGAUGGCGAAGGCAGCCCCCUGGGUCAAGAUUGACGCUCAUGCACGAAAGCGUGGGGAGCAAACAGG
rnacentral:rRNA from 1 species